rnacentral:rRNA from 1 species
UGAGGAAUAUUGGUCAAUGGGUGCAAGCCUGAACCAGCCAUCCCGCGUGAAGGACGACUGCCCUAUGGGUUGUAAACUUCUUUUGUAUAGGGAUAAACCUACCCUCGUGAGGGUAGCUGAAGGUACUAUACGAAUAAGCACCGGCUAACUCCGUGCCAGCAGCCGCGGUAAUACGGAGGGUGCAAGCGUUAUCCGGAUUUAUUGGGUUUAAAGGGUCCGUAGGCGGACUUAUAAGUCAGUGGUGAAAGCCUGUCGCUUAACGAUAGAACUGCCAGUGAUACUGUAAGACUUGAGUAUAUUGGAGGUAGCUGGAAUAAGGAGUGUAGCGGUGAAAUGAAUAGAUAUUACUUAGAACACCAAUUGCGAAGGCAGGUUACCAAGAUAUAACUGACGCUGAGGGACGAAAGCGUGGGG